CCAUCCAUGGCGCCCCGUUGCUCGAGCGGCGACGGUGCGCUCGAUCUGCGAGGGAGACGAAAUGAUGUGAGGAAGAGAUGGGGUAUGUGACGAGGAGGAGUGGAGGGACUCACCUGAGUCACCGGAGCAAGGCCGGAGCCAUGCCGGCGACGUGCUGGCACAAACCCUAGCUGGUGGGCAGGGUCACGCUUGGCCGCUGGAGGAUGCGCGCGUCGGAUCUUUCCCGAUGGGAGGAAGGAGCGUUGAGAGAGGACACGGUGGUGUGCUGGGCGCCGCCGGAGGACGCUGGAAUCGGGCGGGAUCGGGCACCGUAGGUGGUGGUGGCAGCGGCGAGAAGUGGUGUGGGGAGAUGGAGAGACGAGAAAGAGAAAG
rnacentral:lncRNA from 1 species